rnacentral:rRNA from 1 species
UACAGAGGUCUCGAGCGUUGUUCGGAUUCAUUGGGCGUAAAGGGCGCGUAGGCGGGGAGGUAAGUCGGGUGUGAAAUCCCUCGGCCCAACCGAGGAACUGCGCCCGAGACUGCUUCUCUUGAGUCCCGGAGAGGAAGGUGGAAUUCCCGGUGUAGCGGUGAAAUGUGUAGAGAUCGGGAGGAACACCGGUGGCGAAGGCGGCCUUCUGGACGGUGACUGACGCUGAGGCGCGAAAGCGUGGGGAGCAAACGGG